CGCGGCCUAUCAGCUUGUUGGUGGGGUAACGGCCUACCAAGGCGUCGACGGGUAGCCGGCCUGAGAGGGCGACCGGCCACACUGGGACUGAGACACGGCCCAGACUCCUACGGGAGGCAGCAGUGGGGAAUCUUGCACAAUGGGCGAAAGCCUGAUGCAGCGACGCCGCGUGAGGGAUGACGGCCUUCGGGUUGUAAACCUCUUUCAGCUCCGACGAAGCGAAAGUGACGGUAGGAGCAGAAGAAGCACCGGCCAACUACGUGCCAGCAGCCGCGGUAAUACGUAGGGUGCAAGCGUUGUCCGGAAUUAUUGGGCGUAAAGAGCUCGUAGGCGGUCUGUCACGUCGGCUGUGAAAACCUGGGGCUCAACCCCGGGCCUGCAGCCGAUACGGGCAGACUAGAAUUCGGUAGGGGAGACUGGAAUUCCUGGUGUAGCGGUGGAAUGCGCAGAUAUCAGGAGGAACACCGGUGGCGAAGGCGGGUCUCUGGGCCGAUAUUGACGCUGAGGAGCGAAAGCGUGGGGAGCGAACAGGAUUAGAUACCCUGGUAGUCCACGCCGUAAACGGUGGGCGCUAGGUGUGGGCCUCAUUCCACGAGGUCUGUGCCGCAGCUAACGCAUUAAGCGCCCCGCCUGGGGAGUACGGA
rnacentral:rRNA from 1 species